CAUAAUCCUUGCAAGUCACUCUGGCUUAAAGCAGGAAGAUAUGUUAGAAUAAUAAUUUUAUUAUAAACAAUCAAAACAGUUUUGGCCCUUGAGAAACACUCAGCAUACAAAAUAAAAUUUUGAGUUCCUACCUGAGCAAGUCAGCUUUCAACCUUCACUUAGAGGGAACCUGCCUGCCCGACAAUGCGCCAGCCAGGAAGUGGAGUGUCUCCACAGAGAGGAUGAGAAUAGACAUCUCAUCUGCAGCCGGGUUGUGCAAGGUCUGCAUCAGGGGAUAGCCC
rnacentral:lncRNA from 1 species